rnacentral:rRNA from 1 species
CAGUGAGCGGCGGACGGGUGAGUAACACGUGCGUAACCUGCCCUGGAGCGGGGGAUAACAUUUGGAAACAGAUGCUAAUACCGCAUAACAAUCAAAACCACAUGGUUUUGAUUUCAAAGAUGGUUUCGGCUAUCACUCCAGGAUGGGCCCGCGGUGCAUUAGCUAGUUGGUAAGGUAACGGCUUACCAAGGCGAUGAUGCAUAGCCGAGUUGAGAGACUGAUCGGCCACAAUGGAACUGAGACACGGUCCAUACUCCUACGGGAGGCAGCAGUAGGGAAUCUUCCACAAUGGGCGCAAGCCUGAUGGAGCAACACCGCGUGAGUGAAGAAGGGUUUCGGCUCGUAAAACUCUGUUGUUGAAGAAGAACGUGCGCGAGAGUAACUGUUCACGCAGUGACGGUAUUCAACCAGAAAGUCACGGCUAACUACGUGCCAGCAGCCGCGGUAAUACGUAGGUGGCAAGCGUUAUCCGGAUUUAUUGGGCGUAAAGCGAGCGCAGGCGGUUACUUAAGUCUGAUGUGAAAGCCUUCGGCUUAACCGAAGAAGUGCAUCGGAAACUGGGCGACUUGAGUGCAGAAGAGGACAGUGGAACUCCAUGUGUAGCGGUGGAAUGCGUAGAUAUAUGGAAGAACACCAGUGGCGAAGGCGGCUGUCUGGUCUGCAACUGACGCUGAGGCUCGAAAGCAUGGGUAGCGAACAGGAUUAGAUACCCUGGUAGUCCAUGCCGUAAACGAUGAGUGCUAGGUGUUGGAGGGUUUCCGCCCUUCAGUGCCGGAGCUAACGCAUUAAGCACUCCGCCUGGGGAGUACGACCGCAAGGUUGAAACUCAAAGGAAUUGAC